rnacentral:lncRNA from 1 species
GGGUGGAAUCAAGUGACGUAAUGGCUGGGGAUUGGGCGUGAUUGUGACAUCACUAGGAGGGGCUUGUGUCAUCACCAGUUAGGGUCAUCUUAAGGCGAGGGAAAUCUAACAUUCCAGGGUUUUGUUUUAUGGUUAUUGGGCAAAGGUCUCCUCUUUGGGAGCCGCUUCAAGCUGACAUAGGGGAGAAGGUGGGGGCUAAAUCUGGAUAUGAUGGGGGCAGCGGUAGGUGGGGGCUUCUUCCCUCUGCAGCACUGGCCGAUACCCCACCAUGAUGAGCUCUGUGACUGGAUGAAGAAAAGUGAGGGAGCCAUGCACAGAUGUCCUAGAGUGAAUGUUGUUCAGUGCUCCUCUCCUGUCCAUCUAUCCCAAAACUAAACAUCACCAAGUGUGGAACGCAAUCUUGACUACUGGAAAAAUCAUAAUAUUUUAACCACUAGCAGUAUUAUAAUGGAACAUCUACAGAAUAG